rnacentral:misc_RNA from 1 species
GUAGGUGAACCUGCGGAAGGAUCAUUAACACGUUCACACGAACGUAUUAACCAAACGAGAAGAUGUGACACUUGCCCUGGUCGUGAAGUAGAGGUGAUGCUUGAGGAAUGGUGUGAGCUGUGAAAGCAGCUCUGUCUCACGGCAUCUAGCAUUUACGAAAUGCAAACGCGCUUCACGUCGCCAGUAGAAUAGUUCUUACUGCUUAUUAAACCUGCACCUUGGCUUGCAGUUCGGGUGAUGAGAUUAUUAACCCCUUUUUAAUUAACUACUGAUUUGUACGUUUAUGUUUUGUUCCUUCUGACUUUCUUCGGAAACAAUGAGGUCGAGUGACUCGUAAAUGUCGUAUAUUUAUAAUACGAAACAACUCUUAGCAACGGAUAUCUUGGUUCUG